rnacentral:rRNA from 1 species
GGGUGAGUAACGCGUGAGUAACCUGCCUUGGAGUGGGGAAUAACAGUUGGAAACAGCUGCUAAUACCGCAUGAUGCAGUUGAGUCGCAUGGCUCUGACUGCCAAAGAUUUAUCGCUCUGAGAUGGACUCGCGUCUGAUUAGCUAGUUGGCGGGGUAACGGCCCACCAAGGCGACGAUCAGUAGCCGGACUGAGAGGUUGGCCGGCCACAUUGGGACUGAGACACGGCCCAGACUCCUACGGGAGGCAGCAGUGGGGAAUAUUGGGCAAUGGGCGCAAGCCUGACCCAGCAACGCCGCGUGAAGGAAGAAGGCUUUCGGGUUGUAAACUUCUUUUCUCAGGGACGAAGAAAGUGACGGUACCUGAGGAAUAAGCCACGGCUAACUACGUGCCAGCAGCCGCGGUAAUACGUAGGUGGCAAGCGUUAUCCGGAUUUACUGGGUGUAAAGGGCGUGUAGGCGGGAGUGCAAGUCAGAUGUGAAAACCACGGGCUCAACCUGUGGCCUGCAUUUGAAACUGUACUUCUUGAGUACUGGAGAGGCAGACGGAAUUCCUAGUGUAGCGGUGAAAUGCGUAGAUAUUAGGAGGAACACCAGUGGCGAAGGCGGUCUGCUGGACAGCAACUGACGCUGAGGC